AAUCAAAAAAAUACUUCAAAAAUUAUUUUAAUCCGUUUUGGCCCAGAACAACUAAAAAUUUGUUUUCUUUUCAUCUCAAAAGUUCUUCAAAAAAAUGAAUCUUAGUGAAACUUUAUACCCUAUAGUUUUUAAGUAUGCUUUUUUCGAAUCCAGCUUUAGUUUAUCUCUCACUAUUUUUCCAAUGAUGGAAAAAAUUUUCAAAAAUUGAGAAACAAUCAAAGAACAAUUGCAAAAACAGUCCAUUUUUUCACCCUUGAAUUUAGACUUCUACUUGGUUCUAAAUGAUUGUUUAUGAUGAUGCAUCUAUCCUCAGAAAGUUUCAAAUAGACCCAGCUUUUUAUCUUUGAGAUAUGGAGGAUCAAAGUUGCUAAUUUUUAGUGAUGGGCAGUAUUUUCGUACCUAGUAUUUUGUAACUGUUAUUGAAAGAGAACCAUUAUAACAUAAUUAUUAAUUUAUCCAAUAGGAGUUAUCUUAUAACUGUUUAUGGCUACGGCCGGAAUCAGAGCGACAUGUCGACCGCAACCCAUUUAUUUCGCCAUUUGCCACUAGACUAUAGCCAAUCACAGCUAUUUCUUAGAAGAAUGAAAUGACUGUAAUUGGCUAUAAUCGAGUCGAUUAUAACCCAAUCGUGUUAAUCCGUGUGGCUCAAAAAUCUACAAGUCAUUUCAAGUCUAUGGUUUGGGAUCAGGCGCUCUACUCUGUCUUUUAAAAUUUUUUUAAUAUCAAAUUUUAAUUUAAAAUUUAUAGUAGUUGUACAUGUUGAAAUUUUAUUUGUUUUUUAUUUCUUUUAUUAAUCUUAUAAAUUUUAUAAACUGUUAUCAAAUAACUGUUUAAAUUAACUUAUUUGUGAGUAACGAUAACUGUAGAAACCUCGCGUUACGAAAAAAUAACUAUUUAGCUCAACACUACUGAUUUUACCAACUCGCAUAUUACACAUUUUAAGACAUUGGAAUAAAAAAUGACAUAAUAAUAGAUUUAAUAAACGUAUUCAUUUGUUGAUAUAUAUUUCUAUACACGAUUAUAUGUACACAUAAAUAUAAAAAAGAUAUAUGGUAUGUAGUAUAUAUAUAUACAAUUGUAUAUAUUAGGUCAUUCAAAUAAAACCAAGACUUUUGAGUUUACAAAAUAAAAGAACAAAUAUCAAGGAGCGGAAACUGCGUUUAUCUUUCGACACACUCCCCUGUUAUACCCACACAUCCAUCCCAGCACCCAACCAAUGUCUGGAAAGCCCCGGCAUAGAAAGAUUUGCCAUCACGUCUAAACCAUUUUAGGAGAACUCGCUUUACUUCGUCAUCAGGAAUUCGUUUAGGAAUCCAAACAGAUAGAAACAAAGUGGAAGCUGCAUUUGUUUUUUGAAAUACUCCUAUGCUGCAUUUGUACAUGUAUCCCAGCGUUUAGCUGAUACCUGGAAAGCCUUCCAGGCAUGAAAGGGUUUGUUAUUGCUGAGCUGUUCUAAGACAGCCUGCUUCAUUUCGUCAUCGGUGCUAAAAUGGUAACCUCUGAGGGGCUCCUUUCCGAGUGAUUUCUACCAGUUUGGAUCCCUAAAGGAGUUCCUCAGAAGUCCCUAUUUGAGCACAAAAUGAAGCGGGCUGUCCUAAAAUGGUGCAGACGUGAUAACUGAUCUUUCUAUACCAGGCAUUGUUAGGCGCUGGGAUAGAUGUGUCAGUGUAGCAGGAGAGUAUGUCAAAGAGUAAAUGCAAGUUUUCUUAAUAUUGGUUUUUUUAUUUUAUAAACUCAAAAGUUCUGGUGUGACUUGAACAACCCAUGCAUGUACAUUUGUAAUAAAAUUGUCAGUUGGGUUGAAUCCGCCAAAUCGGAGUUAAUUUUUUUAUUAUUUAUCACUAGCGACGACAAGUUUUAACUCUAUUUUAUUAAAUAGUUAAUUCAAAAAUGAUCUGGAAAAAUUGCAAUAAGUUUUUCAAGAAAAUGCUUGCAAAGUUGACCUGAAUAAAAAAGAAAAUAACUUAUAUUGUAGCCCUAAGAAGGACUGCAUGGUUGAAAAAAUGUUCUGGAAAAGAUAAAAAAAAAAA